CAAUCUGCCCUUCACUCUSGGACAAGCCCUGGAAACGGGGUCUAAUACCGGAUAACACCGGCCUUCGCAUGGAGGCCGGUUGAAAGCUCCGGCGGUGAAGGAUGAGCCCGCGGCCUAUCAGCUUGUUGGUGGGGUAAUGGCCUACCAAGGCGACGACGGGUAGCCGGCCUGAGAGGGCGACCGGCCACACUGGGACUGAGACACGGCCCAGACUCCUACGGGAGGCAGCAGUGGGGAAUAUUGCACAAUGGGCGAAAGCCUGAUGCAGCGACGCCGCGUGAGGGAUGACGGCCUUCGGGUUGUAAACCUCUUUCAGCAGGGAAGAAGCGCAAGUGACGGUACCUGCAGAAGAAGCGCCGGCUAACUACGUGCCAGCAGCCGCGGUAAUACGUAGGGCGCAAGCGUUGUCCGGAAUUAUUGGGCGUAAAGAGCUCGUAGGCGGCUUGUCACGUCGGGUGUGAAAGCCCGGGGCUUAACCCCGGGUCUGCAUCCGAUACGGGCAGGCUAGAGUGUGGUAGGGGAGAUCGGAAUUCCUGGUGUAGCGGUGAAAUGCGCAGAUAUCAAGAGGAACACCGGUGGCGAAGGCGGAUCUCUGGGCCAUUACUGACGCUGAGGAGCGAAAGCGUGGGGAGCGAACAGGAUUAGAUACCCUGGUAGUCCACGCCGUAAACGUUGGGAACUAGGUGUUGGCGACAUUCCACGUCGUCGGUGCCGCAGCUAACGCAUUAAGUUCCCCGCCUGGGGAGUACGGCCGCAAGGCUAAAACUCAAAGGAAUUGACGGGGGACCGCACAAGCAGCGGAGCA
rnacentral:rRNA from 1 species